CGCGAGUUGCGAUGAGCCCGUUAGCCGAGCGCUCGUAACGCAAAUCCUUCCUAAAUUGCGUGGCGCGCACAUGUCGCCGCCACGCCAGAUAUGUCGAUAUUUUAAAAGAACACGACCGUCGCACGUAAAAAAAAGAUACGCGAGUUAGGACUUAGUAUCCAUUUGCUGAAAUUGGCCUCGUUCAAGAUAACAACAAGUUUCGCACCCUCCCAACUAAAUGUGCAAUUCAUACGUGUGUAAAUUUAUGGCUGUACGUGGUAUUAUGCACCUUUUUGUGAAGGCAGUAAGAUUUGAAUUGCUGUGACUUGGUGUAGUUUUAAGCAUAUGUCAUUGCGGAUGCUAAGGUGGCUUUAUCAGAUCUCGUUGGACAACAUGCGGUGAACAUCAGUCCAUUGAGAACUUUUCUUCGGGUCGCGGGUGGAACCGUGGUUACAGCUUGUAAAAUACAAUAUUAAACAGAAUUAAGCCGUAAGAAUGAGCCUGAUGGUGGAGGAGGCAGUAGACGAACUCUUGGAUCUGGAAGUCUUGGAUGAAAAAAAGCAGCUUAUCAAAUCAAGCCAAUUGAAAUUAAUCCCGAUUUCAAGUUUCUUAUAGCUGAAACGUCCAACAAGUAUUUGCAUGACAUACAGUUCUGCGCGGGCGUGGUGGUAGCUAUCGAGUACAUGGAGUACCUACCUGAUGGAUCCGCGCUCGAUGGUCGGGCUGGCUUUACUCCUUCGCGCCAACCCAUUCUUCAUCAAGACUAUCGCACAGCGUAUGUUGCGGGUGCAGGAGUUUGGCUUAAUUUAAAUUCAAAUUCAUUUAUUCAGUAAGAUAUCAAAGAUCCACUGUGUUAGUUACAAAACAAAUAGACUUAGCAUUUUUAGCUUUAGUUAAAAUUAAUACUUUAUAACUAACUAGCCGUUUUCCCGCGGUUUCACCCGCGUCCAAUAGGAGUUACU